rnacentral:rRNA from 1 species
UGGGGAAUAUUGCACAAUGGGCGAAAGCCUGAUGCAGCAACGCCGCGUGAACGAUGAAGGUCUUCGGAUCGUAAAGUUCUGUUGCAGGGGAAGAUAAUGACGGUACCCUGUGAGGAAGCCCCGGCUAACUACGUGCCAGCAGCCGCGGUAAUACGUAGGGGGCUAGCGUUAUCCGGAUUUACUGGGCGUAAAGGGUGCGUAGGUGGUCCUUCAAGUCGGUGGUUAAAGGCUACGGCUCAACCGUAGUAAGCCGCCGAAACUGGAGGACUUGAGUGCAGGAGAGGAAAGUGGAAUUCCCAGUGUAGCGGUGNAAUNGCGUAGAUAUUGGGAGGAACACCAGUAGCGAAGGCGGCUUUCUGGACUGCAACUGACACUGAGGCACGAAAGCGUGGGGAGCAAACAGGAUUAGAUACCCUGGUAGUCCACGCCGUAAACGAUGAGCACUAGGUGUCGGGGUCGCAAGACUUCGGUGCCGCAGUUAACGCAUUAAGUGCUCCGCCUGGGGAGUACGCACGCAAGUGUA